AAGUAUUCUAAGCUCUUCUCAGGAACAAAGUCUGGAGCUAGACAAAGCAUGACUUUAUCUGAAAUGAACUGCAGGUGUGGAGGAAAUGCCUAAAGAAACCACUAGCAAAGCAUUGUUCUAGAAUGCAGUCUAAGUAUUUGAAGAUCCAAGUUGCUGACAUUCCACCUCUAGAUGCAAAGCCAUGUGUCUUCAGCAAAAGGUCUACUCUUCCCUUCAGAUGUGAAUGAAGAUCAAAGGUUCAAACACAG